CCAUGGGCAGGUUGAAGGUUGGGUAACACUAACUGGAGGACCGAACCGACUAAUGUUGAAAAAUUAGCGGAUGACUUGUGGCUGGGGGUGAAAGGCCAAUCAAACCGGGAGAUAGCUGGUUCUCCCCGAAAGCUAUUUAGGUAGCGCCUCGUGAACUCAUCUCCGGGGGUAGAGCACUGUUUCGGCAAGGGGGUCAUCCCGACUUACCAACCCGAUGCAAACUGCGAAUACCGGAGAAUGUUAUCACGGGAGACACACGGCGGGUGCUAACGUCCGUCGUGAAGAGGGAAACAACCCAGACCGCCAGCUAAGGUCCCAAAGUCAUGGUUAAGUGGGAAACGAUGUGGGAAGGCCCAGACAGCCAGGAUGUUGGCUAGAAGCAGCCAUCAU
rnacentral:rRNA from 1 species